rnacentral:lncRNA from 1 species
UCCCAUACUCCCUUGACUCUGCCAUGGUGCCCAAGGGUCACUCUAGAUGGUGAAGGCUGCAGAUGGGGAAGCCUAAAUCUCAGCCAUGUGGUGAAGAAACGAAUCAAGGGAGUGGGCGCUACACCCAGAGAAAAACCAAAUGGAUUGGGGGCAUCUCAGGAUAGCAGCUCAGACAAGGGUGUGGCAUCCAGAGUAGCCCGGAUAGAGGCCGGACAGAGCAGCCCAGGGAAAAGAGCCUUCCUGUGUGACGCUCUCGCUGAAGCUGGACAUCUCGAGGGCCUUGACAAAGCAAGUCACAUGACAAGGCAUUCACAUGACAAGGAAAACAGAGGGAAACAUAAGGAUGAGACAACAAAGAAAUUUAGAAAUGAGGAUUACACCUCCCAAGGAAGGGUGGUGUGGCAAUUGGAACAUGGAGCUGAAGAGAUGAAGCCCUCACCACAUUUUCAGAGCAUUUCGAGGCCACAAGGCCCCCCGCCCAGCAUGCACAGCAGAGCACAGAAACACGUUAGGCCAGACCCAGCCAGCAAGCAGGAGGCUCCUGGGUUCUUCCCCAAGUGGGCUAG